CCUACGGGGGCUGCAGUGGGGAAUAUUGGACAAUGGGCGAAAGCCUGAUCCAGCCAUGCCGCGUGUGUGAAGAAGGCCUUCGGGUUGUAAAGCACUUUCAGUGGGGAAGAAAGCCUUGGGGCUAAUACCCUCGAGGAAGGACAUCACCCACAGAAGAAGCACCGGCUAACUCCGUGCCAGCAGCCGCGGUAAUACGGAGGGUGCGAGCGUUAAUCGGAAUUACUGGGCGUAAAGCGCGCGUAGGCGGUCUGAUAAGCCGGUUGUGAAAGCCCCGGGCUCAACCUGGGAACGGCAUCCGGAACUGUCAGGCUAGAGUGCAGGAGAGGAAGGUAGAAUUCCCGGUGUAGCGGUGAAAUGCGUAGAGAUCGGGAGGAAUACCAGUGGCGAAGGCGGCCUUCUGGACUGACACCGACGCUGAGGUGCGAAAGCGUGGGUAGCAAACAGGAUUAGAUACCCUAGUAGUC
rnacentral:rRNA from 1 species